rnacentral:rRNA from 1 species
AUUGAACGCUGGCGGCAGGCCUAACACAUGCAAGUCGAGCGGCAGCGGGAAAGUAGCUUGCUACUUUUGCCGGCGAGCGGCGGACGGGUGAGUAAUGCCUGGGGAUCUGCCCAGUCGAGGGGGAUAACAGUUGGAAACGACUGCUAAUACCGCAUACGCCCUACGGGGGAAAGGAGGGGACCUUCGGGCCUUUCGCGAUUGGAUGAACCCAGGUGGGAGUAGCUAGUUGGUGGGGUAAUGGCUCACCAAGGCGACGAGCCCUAGCUGGUCUGAGAGGAUGAUCAGCCACACUGGAAAUGAGACACGGUCCAGACUCCUACGGGAGGCAGCAGUGGGGAAUAUUGCACAAUGGGGGAAACCCUGAUGCAGCCAUGCCGCGUGUGUGAAGAAGGCCUUCGGGUUGUAAAGCACUUUCAGCGAGGAGGAAAGGUUGUUGGCUAAUACCCAGCAACUGUGACGUUACUCGCAGAAGAAGCACCGGCUAACUCCGUGCCAGCAGCCGCAGUAA